rfam:Myceliophthora thermophila ATCC 42464 chromosome 3, complete sequence.
GGUUGUGUAGUGUAGCGGUUAUCACUCCGGAUUCUGAUAUCUUCAGGACAUUUCCGGCAACCCCGGUUCGAUUCCGGGCAUGACCU